AGUCGUAACAAGGUCUCCGUUGGUGAACCAGCGGAGGGAUCAUUACCGAGUUAUACAACUCAUCAACCCUGUGAACAUACCUAAAACGUUGCUUCGGCGGGAACAGACGGCCCUGUAACAACGGGCCGCCCCCGCCAGAGGACCCCUAACUCUGUUUUUAUAAUGUUUUUCUGAGUAAACAAGCAAAUAAAUUAAAACUUUCAACAACGGAUCUCUUGGCUCUGGCAUCGAUGAAGAACGCAGCGAAAUGCGAUAAGUAAUGUGAAUUGCAGAAUUCAGUGAAUCAUCGAAUCUUUGAACGCACAUUGCGCCCGCCAGUAUUCUGGCGGGCAUGCCUGUUCGAGCGUCAUUACAACCCUCAGGCCCCCGGGCCUGGCGUUGGGGAUCGGCGGAAGCCCCCUGUGGGCACACGCCGUCCCUCAAAUACAGUGGCGGUCCCGCCGCAGCUUCCAUUGCGUAGUAGCUAACACCUCGCAACUGGAGAGCGGCGCGGCCAUGCCGUAAAACACCCAACUUCUGAAUGUUGACCUCGAAUCAGGUAGGAAUACCCGCUGAACCUAAGCAUAUC
rnacentral:misc_RNA from 1 species